CCAGGAAGUUGUUCAAAUCGUGCUGCUGGAUCGACGCUUGUCAGUACUGCGCAUGCGCAGACUUCUUCUGCAUGGCCGUGCCUCCUCAGAUGAUGAUGAAAGAUGAUUAUUGUCACGCUGGUUAUACAGGACUCAGGACAGAGCAGGACGGAGCUCUUUUACCCCGAGAGUUCACAGAACAGACCCCCACCCAAUUUACAGCUUAAUCUGAGGAGGAAAUGAAUAAAUGACAGGAUUUCACUUCUACAGUACUGCCCAGAGCUUUGACCCUCUUGUUGGGGGUUUCCCAGAGCCUCGCCACCUCUAACUGGACACAGUGAGUAUUGCCAAAAGUAUGUAACAUUCACUGUUUAUCCUGACAUAUACCUUUAACCUGUAAAGUAAUGGUUUCACACUAUGAUUUUCAAGUGAAUCGUGUAUAAUACAGUGUGCCAAACCAGGUGCUCAGUAUAUUACAAAGGAUUAUUUACUGAGAAGUAUCUGA